UUUCUACAGGCUUAACACAUGCAAGUCGAGGGGCAUCAGGAAGAAAGCUUGCUUUCUUUGCUGGCGACCGGCGCACGGGUGAGUAACACGUAUCCAACCUGCCCUUUACUCGGGGAUAGCCUUUCGAAAGAAAGAUUAAUACCCGAUAGCAUAAUGAUUCCGCAUGGUUUCAUUAUUAAAGGAUUCCGGUAAAGGAUGGGGAUGCGUUCCAUUAGGUUGUUGGUGAGGUAACGGCCCACCAAGCCUUCGAUGGAUAGGGGUUCUGAGAGGAAGGUCCCCCACAUUGGAACUGAGACACGGUCCAAACUCCUACGGGAGGCAGCAGUGAGGAAUAUUGGUCAAUGGGCGCGAGCCUGAACCAGCCAAGUAGCGUGAAGGAUGAAGGCUCUAUGGGUCGUAAACUUCUUUUAUAUAGGAAUAAAGUGCAGUAUGUAUACUGUUUUGUAUGUAUUAUAUGAAUAAGGAUCGGCUAACUCCGUGCCAGCAGCCGCGGUAAUACGGAGGAUCCGAGCGUUAUCCGGAUUUAUUGGGUUUAAAGGGAGCGUAGGUGGACUGGUAAGUCAGUUGUGAAAGUUUGCGGCUCAACCGUAAAAUUGCAGUUGAUACUGUCAGUCUUGAGUACAGUAGAGGUGGGCGGAAUUCGUGGUGUAGCGGUGAAAUGCUUAGAUAUCACGAAGAACUCCGAUUGCGAAGGCAGCUCACUGGACUGCAACUGACACUGAUGCUCGAAAGUGUGGGUAUCAAACAGGAUUAGAUACCCUGGUAGUCCACACAGUAAACGAUGAAUACUCGCUGUUUGCGAUAUACAGUAAGCGGCCAAGCGAAAGCAUUAAGUAUUCCACCUGGGGAGUGCGCCGGCAACGGUGAAACUCAAAGGAAUUGACGGGGGCCCGCACAAGCGGAGGAACAUGUGGUUUAAUUCGAUGAUACGCGAGGAACCUUACCCGGGCUUAAAUUGCAGUGGAAUGAUGUGGAAACAUGUCAGUGAGCAAUCACCGCUGUGAAGGUGCUGCAUGGUUGUCGUCAGCUCGUGCCGUGAGGUGUCGGCUUAAGUGCCAUAACGAGCGCAACCCUUAUCUUUAGUUACUAACAGGUUAUGCUGAGGACUCUAGAGAGACUGCCGUCGUAAGAUGUGAGGAAGGUGGGGAUGACGUCAAAUCAGCACGGCCCUUACGUCCGGGGCUACACACGUGUUACAAUGGGGGGUACAGAAGGCAGCUAGCGGGUGACCGUAUGCUAAUCCCAAAAUCCUCUCUCAGUUCGGAUCGAAGUCUGCAACCCGACUUCUUGAAGCUGGAUUCGCUAGUAAUCGCGCAUCAGCCACGGCGCGGUGAAUACGUUCCCGGGCCUUGUACACACCGCCCGUCAAGCCAUGGGAGCCGGGGGUACCUGAAGUACGUAACCGCAAGGAUCGUCCUAGGGUAAAACUGGUGACUGGGG
rnacentral:rRNA from 1 species